UCCCUGGUGGUCCUGGUUAAGACUCUGCACUUCCAUUGCAGAGGGCACUGGUUCAAUUCCUGGUCAUGGUA
rnacentral:tRNA from 1 species